rnacentral:SRP_RNA from 1 species
GCCGGGCGUGGUGGCUCAUGCCUGUAAUCCCAGCACUUUGGGAGGCUGAGGUGGGUGGAUCACCUGAGGUCAGGAGUUCAGACCAGCCUGACCAACGAGGUGAAACCCCAUCUCUA